UGUAAUGAGACAGUGAGGUAACUUGUAGUAACCAGUCUGGAGCAAGGUGCCCGGCCAGAUUACCAACUGAUUGGCCGGGAGGGGCAGUCCAUCGGGGAGGAGCAGCAUGUCUGCCGGAUAUGCCGAGGUGUUACAUCUCGAGAUGGAACUCAAUUGCCCGAAAUAUGAAUGUGAUGACGGCAAAGCAAAGACAAGGAGCUGCGUCAUUGGUCAGAAAAGAUGCCUAAAUGUAUGAAAAUCUAAAAAUGACCCAAAACAGAAUAAGGCCAAAGCUCCAUCGAGAACAGAAAUACAUCACUCAGCUGACAAAAUGUCGCUUCUUAACCACACUUACAUCAACAUUUCUGCUCUUGUCAUACGAGUUAGAGUAUGAUUAACUCCUUCCAAAAAUAUGUGAUUGAUGUGUUCGGCUGCAGAUAUUUUGAAGUAUGACUUACCAACGAGGCAAACUUUAUACCAGAAAACAGACAUUCAUCAAAUGUAAAAUAUUAUCGAAGAUAUGUAAAGGACAACAUACGAAGGGACAAGAUCACAUGUAUCUACUUAAAUUCAUCUUUUAUACCGGAGGAUUUAGAAUGAAGGAUGGAAUACCAGUCUUUCUCUCUUUUUCAUGAGACAUACUUAGAUUAAUUUUAUGAGCGUUUUUAUUCAUCUUUAUGAUAUCACAUAUCAAAUUGAUUUAUUCGUAUAAAAUGUUUGAAUCUCGAUCUUAUUUGAAAAAUAUACAAAAUUUUA